rnacentral:rRNA from 1 species
CACUUUGCCGGGCACAGGCCAGCAUCAGUUUGGCUUGGGGGAAAAAGGCUUUGGGAACGUAGCUCCUCGGAGUGUUAUAGACCAUUGCAUAAUACCCUGGGCCGGACUGAGGUUCGCGCAUCUGCAAGGAUGCUGGCGUAAUGGUCAUCAGCGA